UUGAUUUCCUUCGGGACUGAUUAUUUUGUGACUGAGUGGCGGACGGGUGAGUAACGCGUGAACAAUCUGCCUUUCAGAGGGGGACAACAGUUGGAAACGACUGCUAAUACCGCAUAAUAUAUUUUGGGGGCAUCCCUGGGAUAUCAAAGAUUUAUCGCUGAAAGAUGAGUUCGCGUCUGAUUAGCUAGUUGGUGGGGUAACGGCCCACCAAGGCGACGAUCAGUAGCCGGGUUGAGAGACUGACCGGCCACAUUGGGACUGAGAUACGGCCCAGACUCCUACGGGAGGCAGCAGUGGGGAAUAUUGGGCAAUGGGGGAAACCCUGACCCAGCAACGCCGCGUGAAGGAAGAAGGCUUUCGGGUUGUAAACUUCUUUUACCAGGGACGAAACAAAUGACGGUACCUGGAGAAAAAGCUCCGGCUAACUACGUGCCAGCAGCCGCGGUAAUACGUAGGGAGCAAGCGUUGUCCGGAUUUACUGGGUGUAAAGGGCGUGUAGGCGGAGAUGCAAGUCAGAUGUGAAAUCUGGGGGCUCAACCCCCAAACUGCAUUUGAAACUGUAUCCCUUGAGUAUCGGAGAGGCAGGCGGAAUUCCUAGUGUAGCGGUGAAAUGCGUAGAUAUUAGGAGGAACACCAGUGGCGAAGGCGGCCUGCUGGACGACAACUGACGCUGAGGCGCGAAAGCGUGGGGAGCAAACAGGAUUAGAUACCCUGGUAGUCCACGCUGUAAACG
rnacentral:rRNA from 1 species